rnacentral:rRNA from 1 species
UGACGGCCAGUGUCUGAGGCUCGCUGCAAUCGCGUGUCGCCCUUAGAGUUUGAUCCUGGCUCAGGACGAACGCUGGCGGCGCGCCUAACACAUGCAAGUCGAGCGAGAACCAGGGCUUCGGCCCUGGGGACAGCGGCGAACGGGUGAGUAACACGUGGAUAACCUGCCCUCGGCACCGGAAUAGCCCGGGGAAACCCGGAUUAAUGCCGGAUAGCCCCACAUCCCUGCGGGGAACGUGGGAAAAGGUAGCUUCGGCCUCUGGCCGAGGAUGGGUCCGCGGUGGAUUAGCUUGUUGGCGGGGUAACGGCCCACCAAGGCGACGAUCCAUAGCUGGUCUGAGAGGACGAUCAGCCACACUGGGACUGAGACACGGCCCAGACUCCUACGGGAGGCAGCAGUGGGGAAUCUUGCGCAAUGGGCGAAAGCCUGACGCAGCGACGCCGCGUGCGGGAAGAAGGCCUUCGGGUUGUAAACCGCUUUCAGGAGGGACGAAGCCACUCGGGUGAAUAGCCCAGAGGGUGACGGUACCUCCAGAAGAAGCCCCGGCUAACUACGUGCCAGCAGCCGCGGUAAUACGUAGGGGGCAAGCGUUGUCCGGAUUCAUUGGGCGUAAAGAGCGUGUAGGCGGCCAGGUAGGUCGGUUGUGAAAACUGGAGGCUCAACCUUCAGACGUCGACCGAAACCAUCUGGCUAGAGUCCGGGAGAGGAGAGUGGAAUUCCAGGUGUAGUGGUGAAAUACGUAGAUAUCUGGAAGAACACCAGUUGCGAAGGCGGUCUCUUGGUCCGUUACUGACGCUCAGGCGCGAAAGCGUGGGUAGCAAACAGGAUUAGAUACCCUGGUAGUCCACGCUGUAAACGAUGAAUACUAGGUGUUGGGCCGUAAGGUUCAGUGCCGCAGCUAACGCAUUAAGUAUUCCACCUGGGGAGUACGAUCGCAAGGUUGAAACUCAAAGGAAUUGACGGGGGCCCGCACAAGCAGUGGAGCAUGUGGUUUAAUUCGAUGCAACGCGAAGAACCUUACCUAGGCUUGAAAUGCAAGUGACCGGCUGUGAAAGCAGCCUUCCCUUCGGGGCACUUGUACAGGUGCUGCAUGGCUGUCGUCAGCUCGUGCCGUGAGGUGUUGGGUUAAGUCCCGCAACGAGCGCAACCCUUGUCAUUAGUUGCUACAUUCAGUUGGGCACUCUAAUGAGACUGCCGGUGACAAACCGGAGAAAGGUGGGGAUGACGUCAAGUCCUCAUGGCCCUUAUAGGUGGGGCUACACACGUCAUACAAUGGCCGGUACAAAGGGUCGCAAACCCGCGAGGGGGAGCCAAUCCAUCAAAGCCGGUCGUAGUCCGGAUCGCAGUCUGCAACUCGACUGCGUGAAGUCGGAAUCGCUAGUAAUCGUGGAUCAGCAUGUCACGGUGAAUACGUUCCCGGGUCUUGUACACACCGCCCGUCACACCAUGGGAGCGGGUCUCGCCAGAAGUAGUUAGCCUAACCGCAAGGAGGGCGAUUACCACGGCGGGGUUCGUGACUGGGGUGAAGUCGUAACAAGGUAACCAAGGGCGACACGCGAUGCAGUCAAUACUGAG